rnacentral:tRNA from 2 species
GGUAAAAUGGCUGAGGUAAGCAUUGAACUGUAAAUUCAAAGACAGAGGCU